AAUUAGGAAAUGAUCAAACAAUUUACUUUUCGUUAUAUGCAAAGGAGCAGAAACAUGACUACAAUUUUCAAAUUUGCUUAUAUUAUGAUCAUAUGUGUUUUCCUGCUUAACAUUGCAGCCCAAGAAAUAGAAAACGGAAUUCACCCCUGCAAGAAAAACGAAGAUUGCAAUCACAUGUGUGUCAUGCCUGGUCUUCCAUGGUGCCAUGAGAAUAAUUUGUGUUUCUGCUAUGAAAAUGCUUAUGGGAAUACACGUUAAGGAUGGUUAGACAAAGUGAAUAGAAAUGGUGACUAAAAAGCCGUUUAUGAAAAAGAAGAAGAGUCAUAAUAUGGAGCAUUACAAAAUACUCUGAGAUAAUAAUACAUUUGGAUUAAGUGUAUAAGAAAUAACAAUUGAACUAUUUCGUAGAUUUUUUUUUCCAUGUACGAGUAUGACAAAGAAUUGAGUGAAUAUCGUUUUAUUCUGUUGGAAAUCUUAGUGUUGUGGAUUGUGAAUGCAACUUUUUUUCAUGAUGUGAAAUUAUUAAUUUAUUGUAUAUUAAAUGUACAAGAAAAAUUUGAGUGUAUAAUAUUAUUAUUAUUAUCUUU